UUCCAAUGAUGAUUUUAUUUAUUCCUGACAUUGUCCGUGGAGGAAAAAAUAAACUGAUUUAAUGAGUCUGAGGA
rnacentral:snoRNA from 1 species